rnacentral:rRNA from 1 species
ACGGAAGGCAGCAGUGGGGAAUAUUGGGCAAUGGGCGAAAGCCUGACCCAGCAACGCCGCGUGAAGGAAGAAGGUCUUCGGAUUGUAAACUUCUUUUAUCAGGGACGAAGAAAGUGACGGUACCUGAUGAAUAAGCCACGGCUAACUACGUGCCAGCAGCCGCGGUAAUACGUAGGUGGCGAGCGUUAUCCGGGUUUACUGGGUGUAAAGGGCGCGUAGGCGGGGAUGCAAGUCAGAUGUGAAAUCCAUGGGCUUAACCCACGAACUGCAUUUGAAACUGUAUCUCUUGAGUGCCGGAGAGGUAGAUGGAAUUCCUAGUGUAGCGGUGAAAUGCGUAGAUAUUAGGAGGAACACCAGUGGCGAAGGCGAUCUACUGGACGAUAACUGACGCUGAGGCGCGAAAGCGUGGGGAGCAAACAGGAUUGGAUACCCUGGUA